CCCUUAGAUGUUCUGGGCUGCACGCGCGCUACACUGAUGCAUCCAACAAGUUUUCUCCCUUGUUCGGUAGGACUGGGUAAUCUUUUGAGUAUGCAUCGUGAUGGGGAUAGAUUAUUGCAAUUAUUAAUCUUCAACGAGGAAUGCCUAGUAAGCGCAAGUCAUCAGCUUGCGUUGAUUACGUCCCUGCCCUUUGUACACACCGCCCGUCGCUCCUACCGAUUGAAUGGUCCGGUGAAGCGUUCGGACCGUGGCCUUUGGACGGUUCGCCGUCUGUUGGCUGCGGGAAGUUCGUUAAACCUUAUCAUUUAGAGGAAGGAGAAGUCGUAACA
rnacentral:rRNA from 1 species